rfam:Erwinia mallotivora strain BT-MARDI contig_75, whole genome shotgun sequence.
CCAGAUCUCUAUCGUUUCUUACGGUAAAGAGAAGCCAGCUGUACUGGGUCAUGACGAAGCGGCUUACGCCAAAAACCGUCGUGCCGUACUGGUAUACUAAGAGAAUCAUAUGAUUAGUAACUUCAGACUUCACUUGUUG